GACGAACGCUGGCGGCGUGCCUAAUACAUGCAAGUCGAGCGGACGGAUGGGAGCUUGCUCCCAGACCGUCAGCGGCGGACGGGUGAGUAACACGUGGGCAACCUGCCUGUAAGACUGGGAUAACUCCGGGAAACCGGGGCUAAUACCGGAUAACUCUUUCCCUCACAUGAGGGAAAGCUGAAAGAUGGCAUCUCGCUAUCACUUACAGAUGGGCCCGCGGCGCAUUAGCUAGUUGGUGAGGUAACGGCUCACCAAGGCGACGAUGCGUAGCCGACCUGAGGGGGGAAUCGGCCACACUGGAACUGAGACACGGCCCAGACUCCUACGGGAGGCAGCAGUAGGGAAUCUUCCGCAAUGGACGAAAGUCUGACGGAGAAACGCCGCGUGAGUGAUGAAGGUUUUCGGAUCGUAAAACUCUGUUGUCAGGGAAGAACAAGUACCGGAGUAACUGCCGGUCCCUUGACGGUACCGGCCAAGAAAGCCACGCUAACUACGUG
rnacentral:rRNA from 1 species